UGUGUUUGGUAGGGGGCCUGUGCCAAUCCCCGUCAUGUAAUUCAAGUUGAACUAAGGGAAUACAUUAUGGAUCAGUUCUGGGUCUGCAGAGGAGCCAAGGCAAGGCCAAAAACCACUCAGGCUAAGGAAGAGAAGCCACAAGAUACACAGUAGCUUAUCCCAGCAUGCUCUGGUCAACUUGGCAGUCCAUAACAAGGCCAACACAGAUUAAUAUGAUCACAUUCUCACCUCUGAGGAAACAACACCUUCCUGCUGUGAGGCAACAGAGAAACUACAAAUACCCUCACUGUGGUAAUGGAGACGAAUGGGUACAGCCAACAAACAGACAUGGCAGAGCUGAAGAUUAACCAUUAUGAAUGCUGGUGGGUGCGGCAUGCUGUGAGUGGGUAGAAACAAGGACGCACUGAAAGAUGGAUAGAUUUCAUUAGGUGGUGGAAAGGAAGCACUAAGUUUUGAGGUGAAAAACACCUUCAUACAUCUGUACAAAGCCCACCACCCUCACCCCCUCCAAAUAGUUAGAGUUUAAUGUCUCUUUCUCGGUCUUAGAGGGGGAUGGUC